rnacentral:tRNA from 1 species
GCCCGGGUGGUGGAAUUGGUAGACACGCAGGACUUAAAAUCCUGUUCCUAUUGCUGGAGUGCGGGUUCGAUUCCCGCCCCGGGUA